UUUCUGAAUUGUUUUUUUUGGAUGGUGGUCGGCAGCCCAUCCCCUAUCAGAAGAGAAGAGAGAGGCGGAGGCGGUGGAGGGGGGUCACCACCGUCGGUGAGCAGUGGCAAGGCGUUAGCUGGAGGUCAUGGAGCGCGGGAAGCUGCCGCAGCACAACCCUGGGAAGUUGGAGCCUAGCUGUCGUGGAGGAGCAGGGGGAAGGAGAGAGGGAGGUACUGAGAAGAGGGCGGCGGAGAUAUUUUGCCAGUCCCGCCACCAGCAAGGUUUCGCCGGUGAUGUCGGAACCGUUCGUCGGCGCCGUUCGAGCCGGAGGGUUGUGGAUUCUUGGGGGCAGAGAUCAUCGAGUGGAUGCUAUGAACCCAACUACGACCCUAAUGACAGUCCCCCAAACACUGAGAGUUGUGAUGAGAGCAUUGCAUAUAGUGAUGAAGAAUCUGUAUCUAAGAGGAAGAAGUUAUUAGAAGAUGCUUUAUUUGUUUUUUUAGGAAGGAGGCAAUCAAAUCACUCGAGAUUUUCCAAAAUUCUGGAAGAAUGUCGACCUUAAAACUGAGCAAAAUUAGAGGCAAAAGGUUAUGGGGGCAGGGAGGCAUGUGUGCAGCGUCUUUUCCACAAAAUACUUUGUAGAUAUCUUGAGGGGUAUGUCCAGUGGCCGGAAGGAUGUCAUCUCAAAAUACGGGUUUGAGCCUCUUCUGAAAUUUGAGAAAACUGAUAUCCCAUCACGAUUUGUCCGCUAUAUUGUCGAAUGUGUAGACACAGUGUCAUCUCAAAUCAUUGUUGCUGAUGAGAAGAUCAUUCCUAUCUCAAAGGAUUCAGUUCCUUAUGUGUUGGGCCUGCUAGACAGUGGUGAUUUAGCGACACAAGACAAGGAUAGUGGGAGGAACUUCAUUUUGUCUCGGUUCAGCUUGACAGAAAUGCCAAACAUUACUUUCUUUGGAGACAUGCUCAUAUCUUCUGAUUUUCACAGCGAGGAAGGCACUUUCAUAUGCUUCAUGGUGAUCGCAAUGUCGUGCUUCCUUUUUCCAUCUUCCAGCAAUCAGAUUCACAUUGAGUUUUUGACCUUGCUUGUUAAUCCAAAGCGCACAAGUGGUUUUGAUUUCUGUGCGCUUGUGUAUGAUUGGAUACUCACUGGCAUCAACAAGUUUGUGAUUUCUGGCAGAGUACCUGGCAGGAAACCAGAGGUGUUUUGACUUUUGCUCGUACUGCAUCACGGCUGGACACAUGAAAACUUCAGUAACAGAACAUGGUGAUUCAUUAGAGAUAUGCAUAUGGGCAAGGCAUUGCGAUGCAUUCAGUGUAUGGGGUCUUCCGCUUAGCUGCGAGGUCUGCGUUUCGCUGAGCCCGCAAUGCCUUCCUCUCAUCUGGUGGUAUGCUCUGCCUGCGUGCUCUUCGACGGGCGUUCAUCUCUUGCCUCUGCUCAACUGGUAUAUUUUUACUCACUGCCCUUCUACGGGCGCUCAUCUCUUGCCUCUCCUUUGUUGUCAGAUUUUGUCUGGCAGCGCUUUGGCUCGAAUUCCUAUCUUCAAUAGUUUUAUUUUGUCUAGAUGCUCUUCGACACGCAUUCAUUUCUUCUCUUUGCUCGGGUGUUAGGCUAUCUCGCCUUGCAUUGGAAGCAAUAUCUUCAGCACCACUCGGUGUUCCUUGAGGUGUUGUAGGAUUUUCUGCAUGCCCAGUGUGUAAUUUGGUAAAUCCAUGACCCACAUUUGAAGCAAUAUACCCAGCACAUGGUUAGACUUAAUAAAUCUAGAUCUAUAGAUGACCAUACUUCAAUGGUAAAAACAUCGUGUGAAAGUGUAAAUACCAUUUGAAGUUCCCACAUGCUCCCCUGGCUCCAAUGCUAUCAUGGUACUGGCUGUAGGAACCAUUGUAGCUAAUUGGAUGGAUGGUUCACAUAUGAACAUUCCAUAUGACUAUUCCACAACAAAAAUUAAGCUUACAAGAUGGUCACCUUCAAAUCAUCAAUUAAGACAUUAUGUCUACACAUUGUUAGAAAAUACACAUCUCUUUUUCCCUUAUCCUCCGACAUCUUAUAAGAAAAUGUUGCAUGCAUAAUGAUUAAUGACCUUUGAACCUUCAGCACCGUGGUUGGGCAAAAUACAAUACUAUAGUAAUAAAUGGUGCAGGGAUAGUGAUUAAGUCCCUUUGAAACUUCAACAACAUGGUUCAUAAACAAAGAAAAAUAAAUAAUAAUUACCUACAUACGUAGUUUCUCCUCUAGUUGCUAAAAAAACGUAGUUUCUCCUCCAUGCACACAUUAUUGUCUUCUCCAGACAUCUAAAUUUUAAUGAAUUUCUACAAGUUUGCUUGGUGAGGUUGCAUUUCUUAUUGCCCAAGUUGAAAGUUCCUGGAGAACAGACCCUCGAUGUUCUUGGGAAGAACGAGAGAAGCACGGCCCACCAGCGGUGGAUAUGCAUGUGACUUGUGUAAUUACAACCUAUCUGGCCUAUGAAUUGCAGAAAUUAUGAAAAUCGUUUUGUGAGAACUAAAUAAAUUGAUAAUGCAUAUAUCAGGACUAUGAAGAUUCACAAGAAAGAUGGCACCACAUCGGAGAAAUAGAUGGCUUUGUCAAAAGGUGAACUCACCUCCAGGUGAUGAAAGCGAGGUUGACAUGUUGAUGAACUCAUGUGACCUCCAUGGUGACCAUGUGUGAUCUCCAGCGUGAUCUCCCAGCUAUGUAUCGCCUGUGCUUGAUGAUGAACUGCACACCUGAACGCAGCACUAAUGGAAAGAUUCAGCAUCUUGGUCGGCUGCUCGCGGCGGGGCUUGUGGCUGGUGGUUGCGGCAGUGGCAGAGCAGUGUCCGAGAGCGUGGCGCAAGCAGUGGCCCCCUGCUAUGUGUGCUGAUGGGAGCACACCGUCCAAGAAGCGCUUCAAGUAUGACAAUGUCCGCUCUACACCAAGGUACGUGGGCACUCGUGCAAAGAUCUAACAUCUUCACCGACUAGGACUAAGGUAUGUGUUUUCUUCUGCCCGUGUGAUGUGGUGACAAUUUGUUAUGCAUAUGUUUGUAGAUGUUAGUCAGUAUUUGGGAGAUAUGAGGUAGUUUGCUAGAUAAGAAAUAGAACAAGAACAAGAAGGAGCUUUAGUUGGGCCAUGUCAUUGUGAACUUGGAGCACAGAAAUUUAUAGGAGGUGGUUGUCGUAAAACUAGGUGCUUAAGAUCUGCGGAACUAUAACAUUUUUUUAUUCUGAGUAAAACAAAUUUACUUUCUGGGUCUAACUAUGUUAAUAAUUUCUUGCGUGAAUAGAUGGGCCAAGCCGAGCAGGCCAUCACUUUUCUGAAAACUAUAUCGCCAUUUAUUUAGCCAGUACAAUGUUUAUUUUCUGAAAACUAUAUUGCUGUUGUAGGUUAUCUGAUUAAAAUUACAUCCCCUGCUUGUGUUUUAUGAGUUGAUUUCUACCAUGUACUGUAACGGCCGUGCAGUGACCUUUUCGAAGCGAGAUGUUUUUUGUCAUGAAUGUAAACUUGAAUUGCUAACAUGCUGGUACUUUUAUCUGAUGAGCAUUUGACAUGAUUUUGUAGUUUGUGAGGGUUGAAGCCAAAGGAAGAACAACAUACAAUGAGGUUGCAGAUGAAAUUUAUUCAGAGCUGAAGUCCAUGGCACAUAUUGGUCAAGGGGUUUGUAUAAUAUGGACUUCUCUGUUCCCUUUACACUUUUUUCUUGGAAUUAAGAAGCAUCGCUCCCAAUUCCAUUUAGCACGGAACUGAUACAAAGAGUGCCGGCCCACCAAAUGUCAUGGUUCCAGAAAGCUUAUUACAAACAUCCACAUGUUAUAGAACCUCUAACCAGCACCGCCACCUUACUGUCUUUGCAACUACGACAGUGGAACACAACAACCUCGCACUGGCCGGAUCCUCCAUGCCAUGUCCAUCCAACGCCGCUCUGCUUCGUGCUUCUCCCGAGCGCCCUGCUCGCCGGCUCCACCAACCUCCCGCCCAGGCCUCUCCAUGUCAUCGCCAGCCACCCUCCCUGUGCAGUGUCGACCUGCUGGUCGCGGUGCUGCUUUGCAUCCUUUAUGAUGGUGCAUCUGGAACAUAUGCAGAAUGAGGCAUCCAUGGUCAAGCUUCGAUAGACUUGCUAAAGUUAAAGCUCAUGAUGAACUUAUGCAGACAAUGUCUCUGAUGUUCAAGAGAGAACUCUGUAAAUGAGGACAAUGUCGCGAGCUGCAAAUCUGUAAAUGAUGUUGAAGAGAGAGCUAUAAAUGUCUCUUCAACAACGGACGUGCAGCCUGUAGGUAAUUGGUCUUGUGUCUUCUUGUGCCUAAGUUGAAGAGAGAGCUACAAUAAAAAGAGUCUAAGCGAUCAAGGUCCUACUAAUCAAUUAAGUUGGCCGUUUGCUUGCUUCUUGUGCCUACAACAUGCUCGCUGGAUUGUUUUGUCGUAGUAUGAAAGCUUGUAAGCGCCAGAUUGAGGUCCUACUAAUAAAUUAAGGUGGCUGCUUGCUUGCUUUUUUUUCCUCAGUAUUGCAAGCUUUACUGUGAAUUAAAAGGAAUUGAGUUCCUCUGAGCACAGUUUAAUUAUUGGUGAGCAUUCAGGUGAGUGAUCAGCUUAUGCUCCACCGAUGCAGGCAUCCAGAGGUUCGACUGCGUUGGCAGGAGCUCGGUUGGUUUACUUAUAUGCUUUUUUUCUGCAACAUUGGGUUAUUUGGGUAGUUCAUGCAUGUUCGUCCUCUUUAUAUGGUUUUUCUCAUAAUGCGCGCCCCGAAGAUAGGUUCUUUUAGUUGCUACAGAUUUUAGUUUUUUCUGCUUACUGUCAUGUCCACUUUCUUAUCUGAUUAAGCAACUAAUAUAUGAAUAUCUGUGCAAAGUUCUACCAUUUUUGCACUCACUUAUGGGGCCAUCUAUGUAGAGUUUGUUCUGCUAUUCUCCAACUUAAAUCAAGAAUGCAGUCUCAUGUCAUUGUCUUUGCUAAUACAGUAUGUAAUGCAAUCCAAUUGUAGUGUCAUGUUCCAGCUCCUUUUAUUUUCAUCGUGAUGUGCAAGGUUGUUCAUGUGCUCUUCUUGCCAUGCACUAAUCAAAGUGUACAUGUAGAUGCUAAAAAUUGCUUAUCAUCAAAUUACUUGACUUAUGUACUGCUUGGACUUGUUUAAUUAAAGAGAUGUCUCUUUAAAUUGACUAUAUUUACUUGUCACACAUCAUUUGGGUCUUUUGCAUUGCCAAGAGUUGUACCUGAAACUUCAUACAUUGUAUAAUUUCUUGUUAUCCUUCUGUGCAUGGAGUCAUCUUCUGGGUAGUACAAUCCAGGUCGACCAUGCUGAGAUAAUCAUCAUUUUAAUUAUGACAGAUUACCAAGUUUAAUAUUUCAGUUCUCCGAAACAUAAUCUGAUUAUGACAGCUUAUCAAAUUUAAUAUUCUACACAUGGUGAACUUCAUCAAAUUAGGAUACCUACUUGUUUUAUCAUUCUAUCAGCAACCUAAGCUGAUACUAUAAGAUAUUAAACCCAUUUGUAGUUCAGACCUUGCACGAUUCUGAUGGGGAAGAAAAAAGUGACUUGUCCCUAUGGGCUAUGGAGACAAUGGAUCUCCUCUGUAUCAAGGUGAUGUUGGUUCGACAAAUGGAUAUCUCUACCUUUUGUUUUGUGAAGAGUUGUGUCUGAAACCUGGUGAAACGACAGGAAAAUAGAAUGCAGGGUCUAUAAUGAAAAGAUGUUUUAUUUUGAGCACGAUGCAGAACUUGUUCUCAGUAUACUAUGCCAUUUUUCAUAUGUUGACAUGUGAUUCCAAAUAAGUUCUAUUGGUUUAGAAAUAUGUAAUCCUGCAAUAUUCCACAUUUUAAUUUUAAUUUUAAAUUUAAUAUAUAUUGUAUAUGAGCUUGUUUUAAAUUUUUUAUUUAAUAUAUGUUUACUUUUUUUAAGAUCAAUAUAAAAACCAUUGGCUUUGGAUGUUGCUUUGAAAAUGUCGAUUGACUAAGUUACUGACAUAACUAUGAUGUACUGAAACUAAUCGAGUUUUAUACUUUUAUAUAAGGAAAAUGAUUCCUUUCAGGCUGUCGACGGAAGCUUGCGCCAGUCGCCUGUGAAUCUUUCGAUCGCGUCUCAUCUACCAGUUCUCCCUAACGCACACAUCCAGGCGAUUCAAUCCCCUCCUUCAUCCUUACCUCAUGAGGAAACCGCCAGCCACUUGUUCUCUCCCGUUCCUCUCAUCUGCCAAGCUUCGUUUUGUCCCUCUCUCACAUCACCUUUUUUCUCCUUUUCAUCCAGCGUCACUGCUGGACGUAGUUGCGAGUAUGAAUGUGGGGGCAGGCGAUGAGUCGGCUGCAAGUGCGAGCGUGGUGUUGUGGCGACGGGCAGCAAGGACGAACGCGUGCACGAGCUGCGCUGCUGCAGGAGGCACUGCAGCGUGAUGCAACUGAGGAGCUACAACCACCAGUUAGUGAAGCUGCAACCGUCAUAUGGUGCCUACAUUCAGACGGCCGGCAACGACGGCUGCCGGCUGCGUGUGGAGACGAGCAUGGCGAGACGAAAAGCUGCAACAGGCAAAGAUUUUUGUUGGAACCGGCGGCAUGUUUUGUUGGGACCGGCAGGGCGAUGUGCUACGACGGUGACGCAGGGGCGGAGACGGUGUGUUGGGACCGGGAAGACGAAUAGCUGCAACCGACAAUGAUCAACCAGUUACAUGUUUGGAGAAGACCACUUGCGUUGGGCAAGAGGGUUCUGCUGUGGAGACCAAGAAAAAAGGAUGGCAACAUUGGGGACGCCUCAACUGCCGAUGAUGAACGCAGCUCGGAACAAGCAAAGCUCCACGCGAGGCUCCCCUUCUUAGACCAGUACUAAGGACUGCAGUUAUGUGGAUCCACUUUACCAGAAUGUCGAGCCCAUCAUAUCGUGUUCGACCCAUGAACCGGAAGGAUUGCUUGCCAUUAUGUGGUAUAGUUGUCCUUUGAGAUAUAUUAUUGUUUGUAUGAAUUAUGAGCUUCUCUGUGUCUAAAUUUACUCAAAUAGUCUUCUAGGAAUCUUGUUUUUGAUCCACUUUGGAGUCACAAUUUGUUGCUUGACACUUUGUUCUCUAACCCUCAAUUAAAGUUAUUACUAUAUUCAAGUGA